rnacentral:rRNA from 1 species
UACGGAGGGGGCUAGCGUUGUUCGGAAUUACUGGGCGUAAAGCGCACGUAGGCGGCUUUGUAAGUUAGAGGUGAAAGCCCGGGGCUCAACUCCGGAAUUGCCUUUAAGACUGCAUCGCUAGAAUUGUGGAGAGGUAAGUGGAAUUCCGAGUGUAGAGGUGAAAUUCGUAGAUAUUCGGAAGAACACCAGUGGCGAAGGCGACUCACUGGCCCGUUACUGACGCGGAGGCGCGAAAGCGUGGGGAGCAAACAGG